UGGGGAUGACGUCAAGUCAGCAUGGACCUUUAUAUCCAGGGCUACACACACGCUACAAUGGUCGGUACAGAGGGAAGCCAAGGCCGCGAGGCGGAGCUAAUCUCACAAAGCCGAUCUCAGUUCAGAUUGCAGGCUGCAACCCGCCUGCAUGAAGUUGGAGUUGCUAGUAACCGCAGGUCAGCCAUACUGCGGUGAAUACGUUCCCGGGCGUUU
rnacentral:rRNA from 1 species